rnacentral:rRNA from 1 species
UACGGAGGGUGCGAGCGUUGUCCGGAAUCACUGGGCGUAAAGGGCGCGUAGGCGGCCUGUUAAGUAGGGGGUGAAAUCCUGCGGCUUAACCGCAGGGCUGCCUUCUAAACUGUCAGGCUAGAGCACAGUAGAGGCAGGUGGAAUUCCCGGUGCAGCGGUGGAAUGCGUAGAGAUCGGGAAGAACAUCAGUGGCGAAGGCGGCCUGCUGGGCUGUUGCUGACGCUGAGGCGCGACAGCGUGGGGAGCAAACAGG